GACGAACGCUGGCGGCAUGCCUAACACAUGCAAGUCGAACGGAGAAGUUCAGCAAUGGAUUUCUUAGUGGCGAACGUGUGAGUAACGCGUAGACAACCUGCCUCUAAGCUGGAGACAACAACUCGAAAGGGUUGCUAAUACCGAAUGUGAACAGUGCCUCGCAUGGGAUGCUGUUUGAAGGUGGCCUCUGAAUAUGCUACCGCUUAGAGAUGGGUCUGCGUCUGAUUAGCUAGUUGGAGGGGUAAUGGCCCACCAAGGCGACGAUCAGUAGCCGGUCUGAGAGGAUGAACGGCCACACUGGGACUGAGACACGGCCCAGACUCCUACGGGAGGCAGCAGUGGGGAAUCUUCCGCAAUGGACGAAAGUCUGACGGAGCAACGCCGCGUGAGUGAAGAAGGCCCUCGGGUCGUAAAGCUCUGUCUUCAGGGACGAAUGUGCAGAUUGUGAAUAAUGGUUUGUAAUGACGGUACCUGAGGAGGAAGCCACGGCUAACUACGUGCCAGCCGCCGCAGUAA
rnacentral:rRNA from 1 species